UAACUGAAGAGUUUGAUCAUGGCUCAGAUUGAACGCUGGCGGCAGGCUUAACACAUGCAAGUCGAGCGGGGGAAGGUAGCUUGCUACUGGACCUAGCGGCGGACGGGUGAGUAAUGCUUAGGAAUCUGCCUAUUAGUGGGGGACAACAUCUCGAAAGGGAUGCUAAUACCGCAUACGUCCUACGGGAGAAAGCAGGGGAUCUUCGGACCUUGCGCUAAUAGAUGAGCCUAAGUCGGAUUAGCUAGUUGGUGGGGUAAAGGCCUACCAAGGCGACGAUCUGUAGCGGGUCUGAGAGGAUGAUCCGCCACACUGGGACUGAGACACGGCCCAGACUCCUACGGGAGGCAGCAGUGGGGAAUAUUGGACAAUGGGGGGAACCCUGAUCCAGCCAUGCCGCGUGUGUGAAGAAGGCCUUAUGGUUGUAAAGCACUUUAAGCGAGGAGGAGGCUACUUUAGUUAAUACCUAGAGAUAGUGGACGUUACUCGCAGAAUAAGCACCGGCUAACUCUGUGCCAGCAGCCGCGGUAAUACAGAGGGUGCGAGCGUUAAUCGGAUUUACUGGGCGUAAAGCGUGCGUAGGCGGCUUAUUAAGUCGGAUGUGAAAUCCCCGAGCUUAACUUGGGAAUUGCAUUCGAUACUGGUGAGCUAGAGUAUGGGAGAGGAUGGUAGAAUUCCAGGUGUAGCGGUGAAAUGCGUAGAGAUCUGGAGGAAUACCGAUGGCGAAGGCAGCCAUCUGGCCUAAUACUGACGCUGAGGUACGAAAGCAUGGGGAGCAAACAGGAUUAGAUACCCUGGUAGUCCAUGCCGUAAACGAUGUCUACUAGCCGUUGGGGCCUUUGAGGCUUUAGUGGCGCAGCUAACGCGAUAAGUAGACCGCCUGGGGAGUACGGUCGCAAGACUAAAACUCAAAUGAAUUGACGGGGGCCCGCACAAGCGGUGGAGCAUGUGGUUUAAUUCGAUGCAACGCGAAGAACCUUACCUGGCCUUGACAUACUAGAAACUUUCCAGAGAUGGAUUGGUGCCUUCGGGAAUCUAGAUACAGGUGCUGCAUGGCUGUCGUCAGCUCGUGUCGUGAGAUGUUGGGUUAAGUCCCGCAACGAGCGCAACCCUUUUCCUUACUUGCCAGCAUUUCGGAUGGGAACUUUAAGGAUACUGCCAGUGACAAACUGGAGGAAGGCGGGGACGACGUCAAGUCAUCAUGGCCCUUACGGCCAGGGCUACACACGUGCUACAAUGGUCGGUACAAAGGGUUGCUACACAGCGAUGUGAUGCUAAUCUCAAAAAGCCGAUCGUAGUCCGGAUUGGAGUCUGCAACUCGACUCCAUGAAGUCGGAAUCUAGUAAUCGCGGAUCAGAAUGCCGCGGUGAAUACGUUCCCGGGCCUUGUACACACCGCCCGUCACACCAUGGGAGUUUGUUGCACCAGAAGUAGCUAGCCUAACUGCAAAGAGGGCGGUUACCACGGUGUGGCCGAUGACUGGGGUGAAGUCGUAACAAGGUAGCCGUAGGGGAACCUGCGGCUGGAUCACCUCCUUA
rnacentral:rRNA from 1 species